UCUGUUUUCCCCAUUUGGGUGGAGCCCUUUCUGAGUGAGUCCAUUACAGACUUCCUGCUCAGCACUGGGUCGGCUGAAACCAGGUUGAAACCAGGCUGAAACCAGGCAGGGGAUACGAGGGAUCAGAGGCCUGGCAGGGCCCAGGGCAGGACAAUGGCAAGUACGGGCAGCAACCUCAGGACCAGGAGCCUUGAUGAGGAAGCCAAAGAACAAGGAAGGACCAAGAUGCCAAAGACCAGUGCAGACUGGUGUUUCAUUUGUACUUUGAUUUUCUCCUCUGGAUCCUACCAAACUGCCUUCCUCAUGGCUGAACCACCGUGUUCUCCCACCACUGGCUGAUGAGCCAUCUCUUCACACACAGACUUCACAAGGAGCUGGAUGAAGGGAUGCAGCCUGUUAAUCUGCAUUCUCUGACUGCAUGGGAGGCUGAACAGGUUUUCAAGUCUAUUGGCCUGAAAUUGCCUCUUCUAUGAAUUGCUGGUUUAUUUUUGGCCAAUGUAAUAAGUUGAUUGUCCUUCCUUUAAUGACAAGGAAGAGUUUGCUGCAUACUCUGAACUUAUCAAUAUGCUUCCUUGCCUUUAACUUUUUUAUGGCAACUUCUAUCUUGUUAAAGCUUUCAAAUUUGGAGUAAAAACUUAUAGUAUUGAUUUUAAAAGAUAGAUGCACUCUGUUUAUCACAAAUAAAUAAAAGCAAUGCUGAAAGUUACUGGUGAAUUCCAUGCACACUGUCUUUAACUGGAGUUCUUGUGUUCAUGAGGAGACAGAUUCAAUUCCACCUUUACUUCAGGGAAAGUUUCUUCUCUAGUAUGUACAACAUGUAUUUUUUUUAAUUUGGGGUAAAACUCUUCUUCCAUGCAUGCAACUUUAACCUUCACAGCUUUAUUUGUCCCUAAUAAAUCAGCUUUUUACUUCCUGCUCAUAAUAGUUGUCUCAAAUUUUCAUUUAUGACAACUACUUAAUUUUUAGUAGUUCUUGUGGGGUUUUCUUACUACCAAUUUUUUGAAAUGCUGAGUCUGUGA